rnacentral:lncRNA from 1 species
CUGCUCCAGGAAACCCCUCUGAACCGACCCCAUCUAGAGGAGAACCAGAAACAAGGCAUUGAUACAAUCAAAGAGAUUGGUCCAUGGAACCAGAAAAGCGAUUGCUUCUAGCGAGCAAUGCUUCUUCAUAUGUGGACAUGUAGUAGGGUGACUGCCCUUUCUUUUUCCUUCCCUGUCGGCGGGGAGUUGUUUCACAUGGUAGGCCGGGUAGGUUUGAUCGAAGAAUUCUCAUACCUUGCCUAGAAUGUUGUUAUCCGUUGUAGAUCAUUGGAACUAAAACUGCGACAGAACUCUGAAUUUGUAGGUAGAGUAGAAAGUUUGAAAAUGGAGCUUACUCAUAUAAUCUGAAUGCUGUAUAUAAGCGCUAUUCACCUCUAUUCUUGCUUUGUGCGAGUCAAUUCAUCCUACUUACUAUCGGUGCAUGUACCGUAGUAAAGUCCAUCAUCUACGUCCUAAGUCGUGUUUCUGCUAAAGGGAAAAUUGGUUUCUAGGGUUUUCAACUAUAGAUGAUUUUUUUUUGUUUUUUGUUUUUUUGUGUUGAGUACAUUGAUAUUUUUACACUAAAGGAAGGGGGAGUGAGUUCGGCUAAGCCACACAUGAGCAGCUUAAUUUGGUAUCGAAUUCGUCAUCUACAAGAUUCAAACCUAAGACUUCUCACUUCCAAAUGAAGAGAAAUACCAUCAGAUGUAGUACUGAGUGACUUCAACUAUAGAUGGUUAACUUAAAAGAAAUUUCUCAUAUGAUAUAUAGACACAAUUGUAAAGCCCAGUUGAUUGACAAGGGAGGGUCGGGAUUUCCGGUUUCGGACAUCUUCAAAGGCCACUGCUUCGUUUACAUGACUACGUGACAUUGUUCCAGACACAUACGUUAUAAUUCAAAUUGUUUAUUACUAAUCAUCAUUAAAGAUCAUUUCUAGAUUAUUUUAUUCGAAGAUUGUAUUCAUAUGAAUCAAACAAGUUAGAUGGUGUUAUUACCUGUUACUAUAAUUGUCGAUUUGUUCAACAUAUGAAUAGCCAAAUGGUAAUACUAUUCAUACCAUGUUUUUAUACCACAUUUUUAUACCACCUUAGGUGGCAUCUGAUGUGAACAGCUACAUCAUUUGAAAAUUUUGCAAAACCCAAGAAAAGGAAAGAGAAAGAGAAAGACUCCUUGUAUAACACAAACAUCAUUUAAUUAACUAGUUUUUCUUAAUUAUUAGUUUAUUAAAUAAUGAACUAAAUUUAAAAAUCUGAUUAAUUCAAAUGAUGUGGCUGUCCACAUCAAAUGUCACCUAAGGUGAUAUGAAAAUGUGGUAAAAAAACAUGGUAUGAAUAUCAUUACUCAUAGCUAAAAGGUUUUGAAAUAAAUUAAUUUCUAGAAAUGAUAAAGAUAAUGAAUGGUUGGUUAAAGCAUUUGGAGAUAUUUUAACAUAUAUUUCGGAUCAUGUCAUGUGACGAGAGAUAUUCAAUUUUCUUAAAAAAGAGGACAAUUGGUGCCAAGUCACAGAGAGAUAUUAACAAGAAUCUCGUUUGCACCAAGAAUCCCCUCAAAUUGGCAUGGCAUCAAAAGCAUACACGUGAAGCACGUACAUUGGGGGAGAUUUUUCAGUGUGACUGGUACAUAGGGUGGUACACGAGAGAUUCUUUAGUGUAACCAUCACACGAGAUUGUACACCACGUGUCCCUAUAUAAAUGGUGGAUUAUGUGUGUUAAAAGAUUAAUAACUUAAAAAUUAAAAUUUUCCACCACUUGCAUAAAAACACGUGGUGUACCAUCCAUAUUCCUGUCACAACUAAAAAUUUCUCGUGUCAUUAUACAAAUGGUAGGAUAUGUGUGCUAAAAAGUUAAUAACUUAAAAAAUAAAACUUUCCACCACUCCUAUUAAAACAUGUGGUGUACCACUUGUGUUCCCGUCACAAUUAAAAAUUUCUCCUACACUGGAAGGCAUGAGAAGUCACCACAUCGCAGUCUAAGCAAAUAGAAGAAGUAAGGCCAUCUCCAACCGAAGGGUUCAGAGAGCCAAAAAUAGCCCGAAACCGUCUCCAACUGAAGGCUAGGCCAGAGGGCUCGUGGGCCCCACGAAAU